UGGGCCUGCGCCGCCUCGGGACCGGGGUCAGGGAGCUCCUGCCUGCCUGGAUGAAGAGGAGGUCAAGACUUUGUCCCCCACUCCGCAAGAUACCCUCUCUGUUCCGGAGCGGUGGGUCCCUCCCCUGUUAGGACCUUGUCUCCCUCAGGACUGGACCUGGAUCCUGGGCCUGCAGUCAGAUUGCCAGUUUCACUUAGAGGUGGAAAUGUCAACCCACUGGUUGGAAUGGGAAGCUGCUGUGUUGUGAGCCACCUUAUGGAAAACCCAUGUGGCAGAGAACCGAGGGUGGUGGCUGGCCAACAGCAAGCCAGGAGCUGAGGCCCACAGUCCAACAACUGAGACUGGGUCCCACCAUAUUGCCUGGGCUGGCCUCGGACUCUUGACCCCAAGUGAUCCUCUGGCCUCAGCCUCCCAAGCAGCUGGAUUUACAGGCAGGCACCACCGCACCGAGCUAAAAACGCCUGGCUUCCCUGGGCCUGCUGCACCUGCUCUGGCUAGGUUGGAGAGGGCUGCAGGGAGGACCGCAGUCAGCAGAGGGCGCCAAAGCCUCUCAACACAAGCAUGGCCCAGGCCUGGCCCAGAAGGAGAGCGCUGAGAGCCAGGACUGGCGGGCUACGUGCGCCCUGUGGAUUCCCCCAUUUCCCAUGCUUCAUCCAGCCAUGGGCCUGCAGUGCACUCACAAAUGUGCAUAUACCCUCCUGUGUGUGUGUUACACUCAUCAAAUUGUCUCUGAAUUUGCUUGGCUUCAUGUGUUCCUGUGUGUGUUUAUGUGUGUGUGUGGUGUGUCUGGUGUAUCUGGUUCCCCAGGAAGCACAUUUGACAGCCCCACAGUCAGGGUCAGGGCACAGGGACAGAUACUGUGUCUAUAACAAUCCAUAACACUGAUUUUGUUCAUCUCAAUAAAUGUGAGAAUGAAAUAAAAAUUAAUGUAGAAUAUUUUGUACAUCUCAAUAAAGCCACUUUCUGGGGGCAGGCAUUAUAAUUCUAGCCUCUGUUCUACUGUUUGAUAGGUAAAGAAUAACUUUCCACAUAGGGAGAGGAAUGGACAGCUACCCAGCCCUCCCACUGUUACAGGCCUGGGCUAGAAGCUUUCCAUCUAGGCUCCUGGUUG
rnacentral:lncRNA from 10 species